rnacentral:siRNA from 1 species
GAGCUUGUUCGCGGUGGUCUAGGC